GGAUGUGAGGGUAAUCUGUCUGUGAUAUGUGUCAGUCCAUUGUUCUCCAGGAUUGAAUCUGCUGAUCUGGCUAAAGCAGGUGUUGCCUUCCUCCAUCCCCACUCCAUGUGCAUCCCUCCUAUAUCUUGUGUAAGAGGUUGGCCUUCACCAAUGGCAAAGAACCAAUCUCCUUGUUCUUUGACCAGAGUCUCCAAACUCUCUGAGCAGCCACAGCAAAGGCGGUGCAGUUAUCUGUCUGCAGCCUGU
rnacentral:sRNA from 1 species